rnacentral:tRNA from 1 species
GACCGCGUAGCUCAGUUGGGAGAGCAUUGGGCUAGUGUUCCAAAGGUUGUGGGUUCGAUUCCCAGCCUGGCCA